UAUGAAUCUCUCCUUCCCUCCAAUACACCACAAACAUAUUCCAAGAGAGAUAUUCAUCAUCAGAGAGUGAAAGCCUAGAUUGAAAGAAAGCAAAGAUGUCCGAUCAAUGCGAAGGUAAGGAUUCAUGGCCUGAACUGUUGGGAGCUGAGGGAACAGUUGCAAAGGCAACAAUUGAGAGCGAAAACUCUUUAGUCGAGGCAGUGAUCGUGCUAGAAGGAACACCUGUCACUACAGAUUUCCGGUGUGAUAGGGUUCGUGUUUGGGUCGAUACAGAUGGCAUUGUUACCAGGGUCCCUGUCAUUGGGUAAUUGAUCGGUCGUUGAUAAUAAGGGUUACUUACUUACUUGUGAAGAAAUUCAUAUAAAAUAAUACUGAAAUAAUGAGUUGUAUUUCCAUGCAAUAUUCAUUGUAUUAAACAGUACGUAGUUUGUUUUCCUUUCAGUGUAUUCUUAAUGAAUCUAUUUAAAUAAAGAAUCAUUGCCUUUUCUUC